rnacentral:rRNA from 1 species
AGUGAACGCUGGCGGUAGGCCUAACACAUGCAAGUCGAACGGCAGCACAGAGGAGCUUGCUCCUUGGGUGGCGAGUGGCGGACGGGUGAGGAAUACAUCGGAAUCUACUCUGUCGUGGGGGAUAACGUAGGGAAACUUACGCUAAUACCGCAUACGACCUACGGGUGAAAGCAGGGGACCUUCGGGCCUUGCGCGAUUGAAUGAGCCGAUGUCGGAUUAGCUAGUUGGCGGGGUAAAGGCCCACCAAGGCGACGAUCCGUAGCUGGUCUGAGAGGAUGAUCAGCCACACUGGAACUGAGACACGGUCCAGACUCCUACGGGAGGCAGCAGUGGGGAAUAUUGGACAAUGGGCGCAAGCCUGAUCCAGCCAUACCGCGUGGGUGAAGAAGGCCUUCGGGUUGUAAACUGCUUUUGUACGGAACGAAAAGACUCUUUCUAAUAAAGAGGGUCCAUGACGGUACCGUAAGAAUAAGCACCGGCUAACUACGUGCCAGCAGCCGCAGUAA